AGGAAGUAGGCCAGGAAGCCGCUGAGCAGGAACAGCAGGACGUACAGGAGCUCCACCUGCGGGCGGUCAACGACGGGCGCCAGCACCAGGCAGAGCGCGGCCACGACCAUGACGGCAGGAACGAAGCUGCGUAGCACACACGGCUGCCACUGAAGAACACCACAUUGGCGGAACCAAAUGCCGAGAGUGAGGCCGACACAGGCAUCAGCCAGGCCCAGGACCCCAGGACCUGGUUCCUAGGACAACAGAGCAAUCAAAGGAAGGCAUUCUGGCUGCAACCCAGAGCACAUCAGAGGCAAGGUCCAACACACGCAAAGCGUAUCCAUCCCACCUCGGGUCAUCUAUCUGACAUCCAAGGACACAGCGUUGAUCACUCACCCCCAGCUCACAGCCACAGCCUCGGAGGAAACGAUCUCUUGGGGCGACAGCACCAGGAGGGACCCGGAGGCAGGCUGAGGACGUGCUCUCCAUCACCUGGAGCAACCACAGUACAGCUGCUCUCAGCACUCUAACCCAACCCGCCUGCUGUGAGUCGGUGCACACUGACACUGCAGAGCCCAGAGGCGCCUCACGAUCCCCCUCCAGGGCGCCUCUGCCAAGACUCAGAGAGCUGAAAUAUCCUUAAGUCAGUCUUGGGGCUGUUUUUAUUCUAAAAGAACUGAAAACUCCUGCAGGGAAAAUGCAAAAACAAAACAACUGACAUCCUGAGCAAAUACAUUUAUAGUGAAGGGUUAGUAUCCUAACUCAUCAAAGAUCCAUGUGCCCCAGCUGAGCCCCAAGCUGCCCAGCACACCUGUCUCCCACCUCGGCAAUGACAAGUCUGCCCCAGGUUCACAGGUGGAAUGGGCCUGCAGGACUGGCUUAUUGUCCUGUCCCAAAGUACACCACGUCCAGUAGCCGCCCCCCAGGCUCUGGCAACUGCAAGUUAAGUGUCUACUACAAAGAUCUGGAUAGAACAAGCCAGGAGUAUCAAGCAGAGUCACCAAGCCUCUUCUGAGCGGUACAAAGUAAAGCUAAUUUCCCUGCCCUAUGCCUCAGUUACCCACAUGAGGAAAUGGAAUAAUGGAGACCUUCCUCACAGGGCAGAGACACAAGAUUGUGGUUGGGAUACGAUAAAGUACUCUGCUUUCUCGAGAAUCUGUGUCCUACACAGCUGGUCACAGCAGACUGGGGCCCAGUGCCCAGGUCCUGUGUGCACAGCACAGGAGCCCGUCCCCGUGGCCUCAGUCACCCCAGACGUGGCACUGCUCGUGUCCAAGAUUCACCCCUGGCGCAGCACUGAGGACUCACCUUUGGCUUCUUGAGCUCCUCCACCACGCUGUGAAUGGUAUUCCAGCCAUCGAAAGACCACAGCCCCUGGUAGAACGCCAUGCCAACCUGGCCCACCUGGCGUGUGGUGUUGUGGAAGGCGAACUGAAACGCUUCUGUGCGGCCUCGGCCCUGGCCCAGCACCACAGCCCCACCCGCCACGAUGACCAGCAGUGAAAACAGCUUAGCGGCCGAGCACACGUUGGUCAGCAUGGUGGCCAGCCACGCGCUCCACACAUUGGCCAGCAUCAGCACCAGGAUGCAGGAGGCGGCCAUACUCUUGAUCCCCGCCGGGGGCACUGAGAGGCAGCCCGGGUAGAAGGGAGCCAGCGCGUACUCAGCCAGGCUCAGAGAGACAGCAGCAAUCCCGGCUGGUUUCCUCACCAGCUCCAGGAGGUAAAUUACCAGGAAGGCUGGCAAGGAGCCGAAGGUUCGCAGGAUGUAGGCGUACUCCCCUCCUGCUUCAGGAAACAGAGCGCCCAGCUCAGCGUAGCACAGGGCUCCAAGCAGGGACAGGAGGCCACACACUGCCCAGACCACCAGACUGGCCCCGGGACUGCCCAUGUAGACCAAGACCCCCUGCGGUGACAUGAAAAUGCCAGAGCCGAUCAUGCAGCCAGUAACCAUGGACACGGCACUCCACAGCCCGAUCUGCCUCCGCAGGGUCAGCCCUGGGCCAGCCGCCUGGCCACCGUCACCUCUGCUGUCCAUUCUUUGCAUCUCAGAACUUCAACAGAUACUGCCUCCGGGUGGCAAGAGGCAGGGGCUCUGGUACCUCUUUCGGGCUUCCUGAAGGAGUUAAUGAUUACAGCAUGACACUCUGAGCGGACGGUCAAAGAGCCAGGGUGUGGUUGAGAAGCGCUGACCUGGAGCGCACCUGUCCAGCCCGUCUCUGCCAGCGAGCUGUCUGCACGGGCUGCGGUCAGCACAGCAAAUGUCGACGUUAAGUAUGCUUCUGUUGUGUUUUUUAUUUUGCAGUGGCCUGGGUUUGAGGCCAGGGUCUCACACGUGCUAGGCAAGCACUCUACCGCUGAGAAAACUCCUGGCCCUUUCUGUGCCGAGACAGGCUCCUGUGACAUUGCUGACUUCAAAAUUAGCCAGGCUCCCUCUCAGCCUCCUGAAUAACUGGGAUGACAGGCAUUCAUCCUCGGGGCCAACAAGAGUUUCAAUAGAAUUUAACGCUGUGGUUUGACUGGUAGGGUAAUUGGUUCACAUGCACAAGACCCUAGGUUUGAUGCUUAGGACUAACACAAACAGACGGACAGACAGAAAGGUGGAAGGAGGAAAGCAGGGAGGGGGGGAAAAGAAAGCCCGUGUGGAUUCCACAGCAGCAUUGCCCGGGAUGACAGACGAGAGCUCCAUGCCACGAGCACCGAGCAGCUGCGCCUGGGCACCUAAGACACCUCGGCAACAUCUUCCCAGCCAGUCGAUCAGAAAACAGGGAUUGCAAAGCAGAUGGCGGAUGAACUCUGCCUGAAAGAAGAGCCCGGAAGAUCACAGCAGCGGGUCCCAGUAGAGAGACCCGAGUACCCCAGCAGGGAUGGGAGUACACAGCCCUCCAAGGGAGGAGGUGGCUGAGGGCACACAGCCUCUGGAGUGAGACUGUUCGGCUCAGGUGCCGGCUCUGGGGCCUCAGAGUCGAGUGACCUAGACAAGGUCCUUGAGCUUCACGUUACUUCACGUUACUUCACGUUACUGUAAUAGGAGGACCUAUUACACAUUGCUGGAAGGGUUAAAAAAAUAGCCCAUUCAAAGCAUCUAGAAUAUCUAUAACACAUAGAAAAGGUUUGUUCAAAGUUCGUUGGUUUUGUCAUUAGUUUUUUGUUUCCGUUUUGCUUUUUGAGACAGGGUCUCACUAUGAACUUGAACUUACUAUGAAGCCUCAGCUGGCUUUAACCUUGUGGUGAUCCUCCUGCUUCAGCCUCCCAAGUGCUGGGAUUACAGACAUGCCACCCCAUCCCAUUACUAUCUGGCUGAGAGUUUCAUCAGUGCAGCUAGGAAAGAGGGCCUUUCUUAAGGCCAGCAGAUAAGAAGACCUGAGACAUGGUGUGUACCUGUACCUGCCCUUGUGAGGAACACAAUCAUGAUGUAUUACAAACAUACACAAAAAUAAAAAUUAAAAACAUAUAA